AACGCUGGCGGCGUGCCUAAUACAUGCAAGUAGAACGCUGAAGAGAGGAGCUUGCUCUUCUUGGAUGAGUUGCGAACGGGUGAGUAACGCGUAGGUAACCUGCCUUGUAGCGGGGGAUAACUAUUGGAAACGAUAGCUAAUACCGCAUAACAAUGGAUGACACAUGUCAUUUAUUUGAAAGGGGCAAUUGCUCCACUACAAGAUGGACCUGCGUUGUAUUAGCUAGUAGGUGAGGUAAUGGCUCACCUAGGCGACGAUACAUAGCCGACCUGAGAGGGUGAUCGGCCACACUGGGACUGAGACACGGCCCAGACUCCUACGGGAGGCAGCAGUAGGGAAUCUUCGGCAAUGGGGGCAACCCUGACCGAGCAACGCCGCGUGAGUGAAGAAGGUUUUCGGAUCGUAAAGCUCUGUUGUAAGUCAAGAACGGGUGUGAGAGUGGAAAGUUCACACUGUGACGGUAGCUUACCAGAAAGGGACGGCUAACUACGUGCCAGCAGCCGCGGUAAUACGUAGGUCCCGAGCGUUGUCCGGAUUUAUUGGGCGUAAAGCGAGCGCAGGCGGUUUGAUAAGUCUGAAGUUAAAGGCUGUGGCUCAACCAUAGUUCGCUUUGGAAACUGUCAAACUUGAGUGCAGAAGGGGAGAGUGGAAUUCCAUGUGUAGCGGUGAAAUGCGUAGAUAUAUGGAGGAACACCGGUGGCGAAAGCGGCUCUCUGGUCUGUAACUGACGCUGAGGCUCGAAAGCGUGGGGAGCGAACAGGAUUAGAUACCCUGGUAGUCCACGCCGUAAACGAUGAGUGCUAGGUGUUGGAUCCUUUCCGGGAUUCAGUGCCGCAGCUAACGCAUUAAGCACUCCGCCUGGGGAGUACGACCGCAAGGUUGAAACUCAAAGGAAUUGACGGGGGCCCGCACAAGCGGUGGAGCAUGUGGUUUAAUUCGAAGCAACGCGAAGAACCUUACCAGGUCUUGACAUCCCGAUGCUAUUUCUAGAGAUAGAAAGUUACUUCGGUACAUCGGUGACAGGUGGUGCAUGGUUGUCGUCAGCUCGUGUCGUGAGAUGUUGGGUUAAGUCCCGCAACGAGCGCAACCCCUAUUGUUAGUUGCCAUCAUUCAGUUGGGCACUCUAGCGAGACUGCCGGUAAUAAACCGGAGGAAGGUGGGGAUGACGUCAAAUCAUCAUGCCCCUUAUGACCUGGGCUACACACGUGCUACAAUGGUUGGUACAACGAGUUGCGAGUCGGUGACGGCGAGCUAAUCUCUUAAAGCCAAUCUCAGUUCGGAUUGUAGGCUGCAACUCGCCUACAUGAAGUCGGAAUCGCUAGUAAUCGCGGAUCAGCACGCCGCGGUGAAUACGUUCCCGGGCCUUGUACACACCGCCCGUCACACCACGAGAGUUUGUAACACCCGAAGUCGGUGAGGUAACCUUUUGGAGCCAGCCGCCUAAGGUGGGACAGAUGAUUGGGGUGAAGUCU
rnacentral:rRNA from 1 species